CUCUUAUAAAUAUAUAGGCAGAAUUGGGGUCCUGGAAGUCAGGGAGCAGUGAGUCCAGGAGCCUUCAGGCCAGCUCCACCUGUCCACCAGGAGGAUGAAGGUCUCCAUGGCUGCCUUCUCCUUCCUCAUCCUCACUGCUGUGCUUGGAUCCCAGGCUCGGGUCAUAGAUGACACAGAAAGAAGACAAUUGAUGGCAGAGCAUCAGUUUGAACUGCCUUCAGCAGACAAUGGAAAGAACAGACUGUGUUGAGUGGGGAAGUGGAGGGGCAGGAAGAAUGGGACACUAUCUCCAUUUGCAGAACACAGCUCAAAAUCUCCCCUCAUAUACUCCCCAGUUUCCUCACCACCAAGGGGCAACAUGUGUGUGCUAAUCCCAGCAAUGUGAGAGUUCAGAAUUGCAUGAAGAACCUGAACCUCAUGUCCAAGGACCUUAACCUAGAUGCAAUAAUCAAGGACAUGAAGCUGGAAACAAAGAAUGAGGACCUAGAAACAAUGAAACUUGCUUGAGAAAAAGGAACACAAGUUGCCAGUCAGCUUCCCUCCAACUCUCUUAUCCCAGUACCUCCCAGGAGUUCCUUGACCUGAAUUAUUCUUUUUAAAAACAAUUAUUUUUCUGUUCUGGCUUUAAAGCAAUGCAUCGAAUAAAGAGUAUCUAAUUUA